UGUAACUUGGAAAGAAUUUGGCAUGCGGCUGAGCAUGGGUAAAGAGACCACCUGUAAUGCAUCCCUUUUCAAAGCGAGACAAGGGCUCCCUAGAGGGAAUUGCGCCCUUGCUAUGUGCUCUGUUUCAGCACCUCUGUUACCUGGGGCGCCUGGCCCCUGGCUGCGCAGACCCCUUUUCAGUCUGGAGUUAUCAGAUGCAGAGGACGCGUUCCCUCGCCGCGCAGGGCCACUGGAGGUUCCGGCGGACAGCCAUGUGUUUGUGCAGGUGCGGGCGCCUUAAACGACGAGGGUGGCUGGGAAGAGGGAUAGAUGGGGACUGGUCGACCUUGAUGGCGCCUUGAUCCUGCAGGCGGCCCUGGCCCGUCCUUCACCGAGAUGGGGCCUAGCCCUUCACCGAUGCUCAGUAACACCUUCUUCACGCCCGACCCUGGGGCCUGCCCUGGUGCUUCUACGUGGGGGCUGCCCCGCCGACGACUCUGUCAGCUUCUCACCACCUCCACGCCCGGAUGCUGCUAGCGUCUCACGCUUCAGCUUUCGCCUGCGUCCGGUAUUCAAUGCCUCAGUACAGUUCUUGCACUGCCAGAUCAGCCGUUGCCGCCGUCGCAGCAGUCACCACCGCCGAGCUGUCCGCCUGACACCAGUGCCUUUGACCCCACCAGCACCAUUGCGGUGUCUGCCUCAGGAUGAGGCAUGUGCGGGCAGCAGCUUGAGCCUUGGUACCGACAGCCCCCACCUGCACAUGCUGACACAGCCCAUCGUGGUCACAAUACCUCGUCCGUCCCCUAGGCCAUCCAAGAGUCUCCCAGGCAGGUCGGUACACCCGGAGCCACCCGCUCCAGCCCCUGCAGCACUGGAGCCUGCACCGGUGGUGGCAUUGGUGUUGGCGGCCUUCGUGCUGGGUGCUGCGCUGGCCGCUGGGCUUGGUCUCGUCUGCGCACACUCAGCACCCCCACCCCCAGGCCCGCCUCCUAGAGCUUCUCUCAGCGGCCCCCAGCUCCAGAGACCCCCAGUAGGCAGGUAAGUACUGGGUGUGAAGGUCUGAAGCAAGAGCUAUGAGAAGGGCAUGGUGGUAAGGAUCGUUCUUAGAGUUUACUCAUGGGACUCCAAGUACUUUGUGCAUUCAUUUAAUCUUCUUUUGAACA
rnacentral:lncRNA from 1 species